GGAAUGUGACAGCGGCAACGAAGCAACGGAUCGCAAAAUUUAAGCGAGAAGAUGUUUAAAUUAUAGCCCCGGCCAUCAUCGUGAAUUGGUGACAAUGGAAGCGGAUGGGACUCCCGAGGGUCGGCCGGUCAGCGGUCGGUAAUUGUGCCUUAACGAAACCGUUCGAUGAAGUGAGCAUCGCCUGCGGCCAGAGAGAGAGAGAGAGAGAGAGAGAGAGAGCAAAAGCAAGAGGAUUGUCGUAGGUCACGUCGGAGUGAUCGGUGGCCCAUAAAUUAAGGGGCACACCUGACAAGCUAUCAACGUUGGUGACGUUGGUGGCAAUGGUGGUGGUAACGCAUCCCGCGUAUACGGCGCUUCUAUAAAUAUCCCGCGGUUGCCGGCAGCUAGGCGCCAUAGCCGGACCGGACCAGCCCAGCCCAGACCAGGAGCAGCACCGAUGCGAUGGAGGAGGAUGAGAGUAGGUUGCGUUGAGGUUUGCGAUGUCCGAUAAUGCCAGCACCGGGACACGGUCCGGAAAGGCGGACGUGAGACGCGCAGAGAGCAACGCAGCACACACCCGCGUGUUGUCAUUGGCAUUAACCACACGCUGGGCAAAGGAUGUCGGUUCCGAGAACGGUAUUUGCAAACCGGAACUUGAGUGUGACAGCGGAGUGACGGCCGAGACUCCCGUGGACCGCACUGACUGGCCUCGAGAACCUCCGAAAAGGCCGAAAUCUAGUUGAUCGGGGCGCCUGUUACUGUUAAGUCCCGGAUGGAGUUCUCCGAAAAAUAAAAUCGAGAUAAUAAAGGAAUCCCAAUUACA